rnacentral:misc_RNA from 1 species
AACGGUCUAUACCUGCGGUACCUGCGGAAGGAUCAUUAAAAAAAUGAAGCUGGCCAAACGGUCGGCAUCAUAAUCCUUUAAUACCUAUGUGCACUUAUUGAACCUUUUUGCUUUGGCAGGAGAAAUCCUGCCAGAGGUAUCCCAUCAAAACCUGAAUGUUUUGACUGACCUUUUUUUAAAUAAAAAAAUUUUGAAUACAACUUUCAACAAUGGAUCUCU